UCUAAAAUGGCAGAUUAGUGCAUUGGACUUAAGCCCCAAAAAUAAAAUUUACAUUUUUUUUAGAA
rnacentral:tRNA from 1 species